AGAGGCAAAAGUAAAGAAAAAGUGAAACAUGAUUAAGUUAUCUGUCAACACACAAACCUUGCUUGCAGCACUGAGUAUAGGUCUCUUUGUAUAUUACGUCAUCAAACGAAUGCGAUAUCGUCUGCCGGCAGGACCUUGGUGUAUACCACUUAUUGGUCAUUAUCAAAUUUACUCUUCUGUUGAAAUGCACAAGAAAGUUGCGGAGUUGUCAAAAGUGUACGGUCCUGUCGUACGCCUCUCUUUUGGUACACAAACUUGGAUUUUCCUGAACUCCAA